AACGACUCGCCAGUCGCUUAAAUUCAUUUACAUUCAGCGACCACUGUGUUCAUCCAUUUAGCGAAAUACUUUGACAAAAUUCGUGAUUCUGUGCAUAUGGUAUAUGGUUUGUGUUGAACUCAUUCGUUUCUUAAUUCGAAGUUUCGAAUAAUCAAAUGCGUAGGCCACUCAGAAUUAAACUGCAAUUAACAACAAGAACAUUUACAUUGAAUAGUGUCUCUGCAUUUAUACUGACCGAUACCAGUGUAAUAACAGCUGAAAUCGCUAUUAGUGCGAUCGUUAAUCGCAACGAAAUCAGUAUACUGGGCAAUUAAGACAGGCACUCUAUACUUUGACAAAGUAUUUCCUUAAUUUCGCAUUAACAGCUCCAGUUUGCGAUUUUAUCAUAUCUUACAUAUGAGGGAAAUAGCACGAAAGAGCACCACGAAAUCAAUGUUCUUCCCUGGUGUCUGGUAUCGUCAUUCGUGCGUUAAAUUGGAUUGAGUUAUGUGUGGUCUUGAUCCGUCAGUAAAGCAUAUAUAAUUCUUCAAAAAUGAGCUUCCCAAUGCGUUUUGUUCGACUAAAGCGGCUACAACGCAGCAUAACUGGCUAUGCAGGGGUCACGGUGCCGUUACGCGCAGCCAUGAGUACGGUAAAAAUACCGAGGAAGCUCUAUGAGAGCGCGUUGCAGGCCUGGAGUCAGGUAGUUGAAAACGCUAGCGAUCAAUGGCGAAGGAUCUUGUCUAGAGAUCAGGUUUCCAAAUU